rnacentral:tRNA from 1 species
GGGCGAUUAGCUCAGUGGAUAGAGUGCUGGUCUCCGGAACCAGAAGUCGCGCGUUCGAAUCGCGCAUCGCCCGCCA